GAUGAACGCUGGCGGCGUGCCUAAUACAUGCAAGUCGAGCGAACAGACGAGGAGCUUGCUCCUCUGACGUUAGCGGCGGACGGGUGAGUAACACGUGGAUAACCUACCUAUAAGACUGGGAUAACUUCGGGAAACCGGAGCUAAUACCGGAUAAUAUAUUGAACCGCAUGGUUCAAUAGUGAAAUACGGUUUUGCUGUCACUUAUAGAUGGAUCCGCGCCGCAUUAGCUAGUUGGUAAGGUAACGGCUUACCAAGGCAACGAUGCGUAGCCGACCUGAGAGGGUGAUCGGCCACACUGGAACUGAGACACGGUCCAGACUCCUACGGGAGGCAGCAGUAGGGAAUCUUCCGCAAUGGGCGAAAGCCUGACGGAGCAACGCCGCGUGAGUGAUGAAGGUCUUCGGAUCGUAAAACUCUGUUAUUGGGGAAGAACAAAUGUGUAAGUAACUAUGCACGUCUUGACGGUACCUAAUCAGAAAGCCACGGCUAACUACGU
rnacentral:rRNA from 1 species